CGGGGCCGGGACGCUGUCUGAGAGGCCUCUAUGAAUCUCACAGUGAACCGGUCUCUUU
ensembl:miRNA mir128-1 microRNA 128-1